rnacentral:rRNA from 1 species
UGCCAGCAGCCGCGGUAAUACGGAGACUGCGAGCGUUACUCGGAUUCACUGGGCGUAAAGGGUGCGUAGGCGGACAGAUGUGUCAGGUGUGAAAGCCCAGAGCUCAACUCUGGAACUGCGCCUGAAACUAUUUGUCUAGAGUAUCGGAGAGGUAAGCGGAAUUCCUAGUGUAGCGGUGAAAUGCGUAGAUAUUAGGAGGAACAUCAGUGGCGAAGGCGACUUUCUGGACUGUACCUGACGCUGAGGCGCGAAAGCAUGGGGAGCGAACAGGAUUAGAUA